GUUCUGAAUGUGAUGAAGUAUAAAACUGAGCGGAGUAAUCGAUUCAUUGACAAUUCCGAUUGGUCAACAUAAAUCUUUAAAUUUCAUUGUAAAGAAUAUAUCAAAUGUCAUGAUUACCGGAUAGAAAUUUGCUGUUCACCUGUUGUGUUUUUUUUUUUUUAUUUUAUUUAUUGAUAAAAAUAUCAAAUUCAAGGUUUUCAUUUUCUUUAA
rnacentral:lncRNA from 1 species